rnacentral:lncRNA from 1 species
GGUGCAGCUCAAGCCCAUGGAGGUUAACCUGUAGAUGCUGAAAAACCUGUUGGCCAGGUUGAGGGUGCUGGUCAGGGGUGCUUUAAGGAUGUGCUAGGGCUGGAAAGGGUGGCUCUGGGCUGGAUGCCAGCACCUGCCUACUCUUUGUAUCAGAGCCUCACACAAGAACUUCAGGAAAAAUUGAUUGAAGAACUGAAGAGACAAGGAGAUAGUCCUAAAGGGUACUUCAUGAAGCAGAGUAUCGGAAACUUCUGUCACACAAUUAGACUUAUACAUGCAAUGGCCAAUAACCAAGACAAACUAAAAUUUGAGGCAGGUCAAUCCUGAAAUAUUUUAUUUCUGACAUGGAGAAAAAUAUCACUUGAAGACAGCACAAAAUCCUUUGAAAAGAAUAAGGCCUUUCAGGCAGUUUAUGAGGCUAUCUUAUAGCAAGGCCAAUGUCAGGCAGAUGACAAAGUGAAUUUUUGUUUUAUUCUGUUUAGCAAUGCGGAUGGCCACCUCUCUGAACUUGGUGGAUGAGUGCCUUUCCUAGUGAACUAUGGUGCCAGUUCAGAGGACUCACUGAUGCAGGAUUGUAGUGAUUAGGCUGCCAAGGUCUGCAUGAAAUUUACUAAGGAAGAAGA